GGGAAUUGUUGAGAAAUGGUGAAAUACAGGUCAUGAACCAGGAUAAGCAUCAACAGACAUUAGAAGAAUCCCUUGCUUGUUUAUAGGAACGACGAGGAAAGUUUCUGCAAUUGAGAAGUUUGAUAACUCAAGAAAGGCCUCCAAGUUUUAGAGUGCCGAAGAAGACCAACAGCUCAGAAAGAAUAUUCUACGAGAGCUAAAGCUGGAAGAUUUGAUUAUGGGGCUAUCCUGUCUCAGGUAAUUGAUCGCAUUCUCAACUUGCAAUGUUUCUGAAUAUCCUAUUUUGAAUGUCAGAUAUACAUGGUUAAUUUCCAACCUUGUAACGGGUUUGGCAAGAUUCCUAUGCGUAGGCUCUUGAUGCACACUGAGAAAAUGGAUCUGCCUGAGGCAAGAGUACUCCGACUAAAUGUAGCAUCUUUUCCAGUUAAAUAAUGAGUUACCAAUUUGCUUAUUCAUAACUUCCUCAAUGAUGAGUUUUUUUGUCUCUUUGGGUGAAAUUGUCUUAUGAUGGUGUUAAAGUGUGUUAAUGCUUUUGCAUGGGACGGUAGCAUCUGUAAUCCACCUCCUAUGCAAUUUUUUAAAGCGAAGAAAAAUCCUUCGCGUUAUGGAGGCAAUUCAAGGUUUGAGUUCCAAACAUUUCAUACCUGCACUUUGACUCUAACAAACUUCUGCUGCAAGUGAAUCCCCCAGCUGGUCGAUGAUUGGUAAUUUUAACUUCAUUUAUAUCAGCAACAGAAGCUGGUGUUUCAUCUUUUCUGGAUCCUAUUUCCUGACUUGCGGUGGAGAAUUUGUUCAGCAGGUUGGAUGAAUUUCGUGAUCAACAAUUCAGUUCAUUGAUCUAAUAAAAGCCUUUGCAGUGUCAAUAUGAAAGACAGACUGUUUUGGUGCUUCAUGAAUGAGCAGCAGUUGCAGGUCAUAUUUAGGAGUAGCCUUAAUUCUACCUGAAAUCCUUGCGAGUUUAGACCAUUGUAUGCUCAUUAUUGAGGGGUCCAGCUCUCAGGCUUCCUGCACAAAAUCUUGUUUAGCUCUUGAAAAUCUCAGGCAGGCCCUUGGGGAUGCUGAAGGCUGCGAGAUCCUUUAUCAGUUUCCACUUCAACAUUAUAAUGGAAAGAUUCUCUUGAAAGAAAUGGCGGGACUUGAGGACGAGUUAUCACAAAUCUUAGCCGAGUGCUUGCAUGAAGGUUAACAGGAACAAGUAUAUUACAUUUCAUCCAAGAACACCUUUGUGCUUCACAAUUUGGGUUGAACUAUAAAAUGUUUCACUCUAACCUCUUUCA